UCAUUUUCAUCAUCAAGUGCAACAAAUAAGCUGUUCAAUAUUCCAAAUAAUUUAUGAUAAAAAUGGCAAAAUCAUUGGAAUCAAGUGUUUCAUCGGUGAAAACGCGUAAGGCUGAUGAAAAACAACGACAAAUUGCUUUGAUUGGGCACGAUUGGGCACGUUUCACAUCAAAUUGUUGGAGCUAAGUUGCCGUCGAACAGACAAGUUUUGGAAGUGUUUUUCUAUAACAUGCAUUUUGUGAAAUUAAGUGCCAAAGAGAGCGCAAAUCUAACCAUUGAUGCUGUUUUGAUAUUUUGGCAGCAAGCACGUAUACCAACUCGCCGAAAAGAUAAAUGUACCGACAAAAUUGUUAAAAUUUACGAUGACUGGAAAGCCUUUAACAAAGUAAAGGUGGAACAAAUGUCAUUCGGAAUGAAAGAAAAAUUUAGUUCUUUCAUGGACGAUUUAGAUGAUCUUUUUGACAUUGCCGCUGCCGAUGCUCUGGAGACGAUGAGAAAUGAAGAAGACAAAGAAUUUUUGGAAAAACAGCGGCAAAAAGGACGACCAGGUUCAAUGUUGGGUGUCGAUAUGAAAUUGGCAGGCAAAGAAGAAAGAUCGAAAUUGCGGAAAGAAAAGGAAGACGCACGAAAAACAAGACAUGAGCAAGCCACGAAUUUGCAACAAUCUGUAAAUUAUGAAGGUGAUUCGGAUAUUGAAUACAAUACAGAAGUACAUGAUGUUUUUGAAGUACCACCACAACAGACACGCCGCUCCACUCCGAAAAAGAAAUGGAUUACACCACGAUUAUGCGCCGCACUUGAUAAAGCGAAGUUGUCGAACAGAGAGGCGAUGCAUAUAUUGAUGGCAACGGUAGAUGCUUUGAAGAUUCCUGCCGAUAAUUUAGUCCUAAAUUGUACUUCUCUAUAAGAAUCGCGUGAGGAAAAUCGACGAAUUCAAUAUGAUGAAUCAAAAUCCGAUUUCAUAGACAACUUAAGUACUAACGAUCGUUUAGUGGUUCACUGGGAUGGAAAAAUUUUGAAUGAUUUGUGCGGCAGAUCCAAGGUAGAUCGUAUAGCAGUUCUUGUUAGCUACAAUGGAAGUUUCAAAUUUUUAGGAGCUCCGAAAAUUGAAUCGGGUACGGGAAAACAUAUUGCUUAAGCCGUUUAUAAUAUUCUAGUUGAAUGGAACAUUUCUGAAAGAGUUGUGGCCUGCAGCUUUGAUACAACUUCCUCAAAUACUGGCCAUAAAAGUGGUGCUUGUGUUCUUUUGGAAGAACUUCUCGGCCGGAAACUCAUUUAUCUUGCAUGCCGCCAUCAUGUUCAUGAAAUUGUGCUUAAAAAUGUCUUUGAGAAGAAGUAUGGCAGCAGCAGUGCACCUGAAACUCUAAUUUUCAAUCGAUUCGCUGAUGUAUGGCACGAAAUCAAACGAGAUCAAUUCAAUUCUGGCCUUGAUGACUCAAUUGUCUGCUCAAAAAUUCCCAAUGAUGAACGUGAACAAAUCAAACAUACUCAAAUACGUAGCGAUUAUAAGGAGCUGUUGGAGCUCACGAUCACAUUCCUUGGUGGUGACGGCGGCGCUUUUCGUACAUGUGGUGCAACCUCUAAUGCAAGAUUUAUGUCAAAAGCAAUUUAUUGUCUGAAAAUUUUCCUGUUUCGUGGCCAAUUCAAUUUAUCUAAGAGAGAGCUCAAUUCUAUUCGAGAUGUUUCAAUUUUUGUCGUUAAAAUUUACAUUAAAGUCUGGUACGGAUGUACGAAUUCUAUUGAAUCUCCCAAUCAAGAUUUGAAUUUUUUGCGUGCCGCUAACGAAUAUUCCAAAAUUGAUAUAGAUAUAUCUGCCG